rnacentral:rRNA from 1 species
AGUCAAUAGAUACCCUGGUAGUCCAUGCCGUAAACGAUGAUUGCUAGGUGUGGGGGGUCUGACCCCUUCCGUGCCGGAGUUAGCACAAUAAGCAAUCCACCUGGGGAGUACGGCCGCAAGGUUGAAACUCAAAGGAAUUGACGGGGGCCCGCACAAGCAGUGGAGUAUGUGGUUUAAUUCGAAGCAACGCGAAGAACCUUACCAGGUCUUGACAUCCACCGAAUCCUGUAGAGAUACGGGAGUGCCCUUCGGGGAACGGUGAGACAGGUGGUGCAUGGUUGUCGUCAGCUCGUGUCGUGAGAUGUUGGGUUAAGUCCCGCAACGAGCGCAACCCUUGUGAAUAGUUGCUACGAAAGAGCACUCUAUUCAGACCGCCGUUGACAAAACGGAGGAAGGUGGGGAUGACGUCAAAUCAUCAUGCCCCUUAUGACCUGGGCUACACACGUACUACAAUGGCCGUUAACAGAGGGAUGCAAUACCGCGAGGUGGAGCGAACCCCUAAAAACGGUCUCAGUUCAGAUUGCAGGCUGAAACUCGCCUGC